rnacentral:snRNA from 1 species
CUAACCUCCCCGGCUACAGUUUGGCUUAGAUCAAGUGUAGUAUCUGUUCUUUUCAGUUUAAUCUCUGAAAGGUCUCUAAGGAGGCCAAUCGUGAUUAAUCUUAUUUUUGCCUCUCGGGAGAAGCCCUCUGUGCUUGCACAUGGCUUCACCCACAGUGUCCCUGGUAUUACACUGCCUCCAGGUGACGCGAACACAU